GUGAGACUAUGCCUCCAGGCACCAAAAGACCUCCAGCUGCCCAGCUUGUUGUUUUUUCACAGCUGCUAAUGACAGGACUCAAGAAAUUCUUGUUCACUUCCGACAAGGAUUUAGUCAUUGGAUGAAGCAAAUUCACAGCUCAGUUCACCUUGCCAAAAUACCAUUUUUGAGCUGGGCUACUGAUUUUAGGAGUCCUGUAGCACAGCCACGGUGAAGAUCAGAAUCGUGUUGUGAAUGCAUUACCUCAUUGCAUAUCUGCUGUGGCACUGAUGCAUAACAAGCAUGUGAAAUGAGAGGGUGACAGAGUGAGAGAACAUCUUCCAGAACUUUAGAUCUAAGUCCAUAAGGAUGGCAAAGUGUUCAUGCUUCAGCAGAGGAUUUCAGGAAAUUUUGUGUUUC